AUACGUAGGGUGCAAGCGUUAAUCGGAAUUACUGGGCGUAAAGCGUGCGCAGGCGGUUCGGAAAGAAGGAUGUGAAAUCCCAGGGCUCAACCUUGGAACUGCAUUCUUAACUACCGGACUAGAGUAUGUCAGAGGGGGGUAGAAUUCCGCGUGUAGCAGUGAAAUGCGUAGAUAUGCGGAGGAAUACCGAUGGCGAAGGCAGCCCCCUGGGAUAAUACUGACGCUCAUGCACGAAAGCGUGGGUAGCAAACAGGAUUAGAUACCCUGGUAGUCCACGCCCUAAACGAUGUCAACUAGCUGUUGGGCCCUUCGGGGCUUAGUAGCGUAGCUAACGCGUGAAGUUGACCGCCUGGGGAGUACGGUCGCAAGAUUAAAACUCAAAUGAAUUGACGGGG
rnacentral:rRNA from 1 species